UUGCCUACGGGAGGCAGCAGUGGGGAAUCUUGCGCAAUGGGCGAAAGCCUGACGCAGCCAUGCCGCGUGAAUGAUGAAGGUCUUAGGAUUGUAAAAUUCUUUCACCGGGGACGAUAAUGACGGUACCCGGAGAAGAAGCCACGGCUAACUUCGUGCCAGCAGCCGCGGUAAUACGAAGGGGGCUAGCGUUGCUCGGAAUUACUGGGCGUAAAGGGAGCGUAGGCGGACUGUUUAGUCAGAGGUGAAAGCCCAGGGCUCAACCUUGGAAUUGCCUUUGAUACUGGCAGUCUUGAGUACGGAAGAGGUAUGUGGAACUCCGAGUGUAGAGGUGAAAUUCGUAGAUAUUCGGAAGAACACCAGUGGCGAAGGCGACAUACUGGUCCGUUACUGACGCUGAGGCUCGAAAGCGUGGGGAGCAAACAGGAUUAGAUACCCGAGUAGUCCU
rnacentral:rRNA from 1 species